UGGGGUAUAUUGGACAAUGGGCGCAAGCCUGAUCCAGCCAUACCGCGUGGGUGAAGAAGGCCUUCGGGUUUUAAAGCCCUUUUGUUGGGAAAGAAAUCCUAUCGGUUAAUAACCGGUGGUGAUGACGGUACCCAAAGAAUAAGCACCGGCUAACUUCGUGCCAGCAGCCGCGGUAAUACGAAGGGUGCAAGCGUUACUCGGAAUUACUGGGCGUAAAGCGUGCGUAGGUGGUGGUUUAAGUCUGCUGUGAAAGCCCUGGGCUCAACCUGGGAAUUGCAGUGGAUACAGAAUCACUAGAGUGUGGUAGAAGGAUGCGGAAUUUCUGGAGUAGCGGUAAAAGGCGUAGAGAUCAGAAGGAACAACCGUGAAGAAGGCGGCAUCCUGGGACAACACUGACACUGAGGCAUGAAAGCGUGGGGAGCAAACA
rnacentral:rRNA from 1 species